rnacentral:misc_RNA from 1 species
CAUUACAGAAAUCCCAAUUAAGCAAGAGCUCAGCACGACUGGGCGAGCAGACCAAUGAGUAGUCAUACUCGUUGAUCAAUAAUCCUCACAGCCUGACCAACUGUGGGGAAUGAGCGUGUUUGCGUGACACGGCACGCAUUCACGGUGAAGAGAGAAAAAGCGAAAAAAAGAGCUACCCUAAAGCUCAUGAAAAUGGUUUGAUCGCGUAUCCCGGCGCUUUCUUCCAUAUAUAUAAAGCAUUGCACAAAUAAUGAGUUUUGAGCUGGGGCUCAUUAGUGCACAUUACGAUUGCAUGGUUGUGGCAACCGGUGAUCGUUAACUGCAGCUUUGUCUGCCUACGGUGGAGCGAUCCAGUUCUGCCUUUCGCCUGUGCCUGGUACAUUCGUGUACCUACGCACAGUUCUGGUUGUGACAGGGUGCCUACCCGUCUGAUGCUCUUUGUUAUGCUUGCCGUCUGUAGAUGGUCAGUCCAUAUCAGGAGUGACGGGAUGUGCUGUCAAAAUUGGCAGUGCUAGGCUUAAUGAGUGGUUCGACAUAACGAGCUACGGCUCAGCCACCGCCCUGUUUGCUGUUUGUUGCAACAAAAUCCCAUAUUACACUGUUCAAGUGGUUCAGAUCGGACAUUGCUCACCCAACCGGUUUGAAUCAUUGCCCGACAUGCACCUGGUCUCGUACUGGAAUGCAUGUGCAGUCGCCUGGCGGUGCCUUAUCCUGGGCUAGACUGAGUAACCAAGCGUCGCUCAUCCGAAUCCCUGGAUGUUCGAUGUGAGUACAACUCUCUGCGGUGGAUCACUCGGCUCGUGUGUCGAUGAAGAGCGCAGCCAACUGUGUGAAUUAAUGUGAACUGCAUACUGCUUUGAACAUCGACAUCUUGAACGCAUAUUGCGGCCAUGGGUUAGCCUGUGGCCACCCCUGUCCGAGGGUCGGCUUAUAAACUAUCGCGACGCCCAAAAAGUCGCGGCUUGGGUCUUGCCAGCUGGCGUGAUAUCCCCUAUUUGGUCUUGUGCCUUUGUGGGGUGCCAGAACUAUGGCGUUUCCCUAAUGUACCCGGACGCACCAUGUUACGGCUAAAAGCCUUGACGAGAUGUGUCGAUAGAGUCGUGGCUCAGUUAUAUAUUUUAUGUGCGCGCUCUACCGUCAUGUUUUGUCUAUGGUUGGCUUGCUGUGGGUGGUUGUGUACCGAUGCUGACUAAUGUAUGUGCCAUAUGGCUCAUCAUUU